rnacentral:rRNA from 1 species
AUUGAACGCUGGCGGCAUGCUUUACACAUGCAAGUCGAACGGUAACAGGCCGCCAGGUGCUGACGAGUGGCGAACGGGUGAGUAAUGCAUCGGAACGUGCCCAGUCGUGGGGGAUAACUACUCGAAAGAGUAGCUAAUACCGCAUACGAUCUAUGGAUGAAAGCGGGGGACCGUAAGGCCUCGCGCGAUUGGAGCGGCCGAUGUCAGAUUAGGUAGUUGGUGGGGUAAAGGCUCACCAAGCCAACGAUCUGUAGCUGGUCUGAGAGGACGACCAGCCACACUGGGACUGAGACACGGCCCAGACUCCUACGGGAGGCAGCAGUGGGGAAUUUUGGACAAUGGGCGCAAGCCUGAUCCAGCAAUGCCGCGUGCAGGAAGAAGGCCUUCGGGUUGUAAACUGCUUUUGUACGGAACGAAACGGCUCUGGUUAAUACCCGGGGCUAAUGACGGUACCGUAAGAAUAAGCACCGGCUAACUACGUGC